rnacentral:tRNA from 1 species
GAGGGUAUAGCUCAAGUGGUAGAGCACAUGCUUAGCAUGCAUGAGGUCCUGGGUUCAAUCCCCAGUGCCUCCC